UUUUAUGGAGAGUUUGAUCCUGGCUCAGGAUGAACGCUGGCGGCGUGCCUAAUACAUGCAAGUCGAGCGAACGGACGAGAAGCUUGCUUCUCUGAUGUUAGCGGCGGACGGGUGAGUAACACGUGGAUAACCUACCUAUAAGACUGGGAUAACUUCGGGAAACCGGAGCUAAUACCGGAUAAUAUUUUGAACCGCAUGGUUCAAAAGUGAAAGACGGUCUUGCUGUCACUUAUAGAUGGAUCCGCGCUGCAUUAGCUAGUUGGUAAGGUAACGGCUUACCAAGGCAACGAUGCAUAGCCGACCUG
rnacentral:rRNA from 1 species